rnacentral:rRNA from 1 species
UACGGGGGGGGUAAGCGUUGUUCGGAAUUACUGGGCGUAAAGGGCUCGUAGGCGCCAACUAAGCCGGACGUGAAAUCCCUCAGCUUAACUGGGGAACUGCGUCCGAUACUGGAUGGCUUGGAUUUGGGAGAGGGAUGCGGAAUUCCAGGUGUAGCGGUGAAAAUGCGUAGAUAUCUGGAGGAACACCGGUGGCGAAGGCGGCAUCCUG